CCUACGGGUGGCAGCAGUGGGGAAUAUUGGACAAUGGGCGAAAGCCUGAUCCAGCCAUGCCGCGUGUGUGAAGAAGGCCUUCGGGUUGUAAAGCACUUUCAGUGGGGAAGAAAGCUUUGGGGCUAAUACCCUCGAGGAAGGACAUCACCCACAGAAGAAGCACCGGCUAACUCCGUGCCAGCAGCCGCGGUAAUACGGAGGGUGCGAGCGUUAAUCGGAAUUACUGGGCGUAAAGCGCGCGUAGGCGGUCUGAUAAGCCGGUUGUGAAAGCCCCGGGCUCAACCUGGGAACGGCAUCCGGAACUGUCAGGCUAGAGUGCAGGAGAGGAAGGUAGAAUUCCCGGUGUAGCGGUGAAAUGCGUAGAGAUCGGGAGGAAUACCAGUGGCGAAGGCGGCCUUCUGGACUGACACUGACGCUGAGGUGCGAAAGCGUGGGUAGCAAACAGGAUUAGAUACCCUAGUAGUC
rnacentral:rRNA from 1 species